CGCCGGUCAGCACAUCUUCUCUCUCCUCUCAUCUCCUCGCUAUCUCCACCUCUCUCAUUUAUCGUCACCGAUAUAUCCUUGCAGUCCUCUAUCAUUCCAAUCACUGCAAACCUGUGACGCCCUAACUACAUACUCUUCGUGUCAUCAGCCAGAAUGUUCUCCUUUUUGGCAUACUUUCCUUCAACCAAGACUGAUGAUGGUCCUUUUCAAUUUGGCAAUGCCAUUGAAAUUCCUAGCAUUCCAGCAAUACCCAGAUCAUCACUGCCUCCUGUACUUUUAAACUCAAACAGUCUAUUUGCCAAAAAAAUUUCAGAAAACAGUCAGACCAUUACUAAAGUGAACGGGGUUUUGAUCAACAAAUAUGAAGGGCUAGAAAAAUAAGUUCUAGAUAUGCUUAAUAGUGCAAAAGGGUUGCCGCCAGUGUUCCCCGUUGGACCUCUUCUGCCCUGUGAGUUCGAGGGACCAGAAUCUCUCGCCACUUUGAAGUGGCUUGAGGAUCAAUAGAAAGGGCCAGUACUAUAUGUUGUAGGACAGCCACGUCAAAGGAGCAAAUAAGAGAGAUAGCGAUGGGACUAGUCGUGAGUGGGUGUAAACUGUUGCGGCUGGCGAGGACUAAAAUAGUUGACAAAGAGGAAGAAGAAGGUUUGGACAAGAUACUGGAGCAUGAACUCAUGCAGAGGAUCAAGAGUAGUAAUAACGGUUUGGUCGUAAAAGAAUGGGUGAAUCAAUGUGAAAUACUAAGUCAUAAGGCUGUGGGUUGGUUCAUGAGCCAUUGCGGGUGGAAUUAGGUGGUGGAGGCUGCCUUGAAUGGUGUGCCUUUGCUGGCAUGUCCAAAACGUAUGUUCGGGGAUCAGAGGAUUGAUGUGAAGGUGAUUGAAGCGCUCGGAUGGGGCCUGUGUGUGAAGAGAUGGGGGUGGGGUGAGGAUGUUGUGUCGAAAGGAGAGGAGAUCGGUGAGAAAAUCAAACAACUUGUGGCGAGUGAAUAAUUAAAACUGGGAGCUGCAACAAUCAGUCAAGCGGCAAGGAAGGCUUUAUGUUCUCGUUUCUUUUCCCCUCUUUUUAUUAAAAGAUCUUCAAUUUUUUUUUCAUUAUCUAAUUGAAUUAUUUAUCUUUUGAUUUUUUUUAAACUUUGUGUUUUUUCAUUCUUUUUUAAUUUUCUUCUUUUUUCAAGAUUUUUUAAUUUUUUUCCACGUUAUGCUAACUUUUUAAAAAUAUUUCUUAGAUUAAACAAUCGUUAAUUUUUAUUUAAUAGUAAAUAAAAGUUUUUAUUUAAAAAAAAUAAAUUAUACAAUUAAUCUAUAUACUCUGAUAAAGUGAUGGAUUUAGUUUUUGCAUAAUCAUUUGUAAAUUUUAAAUAUAUGCACAUUUUAAAAUUGACAAUAACAAUUCAAUAAUUAUCAAUAUUAAAUUUUUUUUAUUAUAUUUGCUGNAUAAUUUAAAUUUUUUUAUGUAUUAUGCUGAUUAUAUAACGUUGAAUAUGAUGUAUCAAUGAUGAUAUAAUAUUUUUCAAUACUCUUUUUACUACUUUAAUUUAUGAAGUACAAAAAUUUAAUUUUUCUUUAUUUCAUUAUAUUCUUAUCCUAAAUCAUAAAAGCCUAUUCAUAUUUUGAUCUAUUUCUUUUUUAAUUCUAUUUAAAAUUAUUAAUUCACGUUAAAUAAUUUUAUGUCCAUACUUAUAAAAUUCGUUUUAAUGCUUAAUCAGGUCCUGGGAACACUACUAUUAGACUGUGCCUCCGUUCAGGCGGUGUAAGGUAAAAGUAAAUAUAAGAGUCACCAUUUUCACCGUUAUGGCUUUAUUUUACUGUGCUGGGGUUAGAAAAAAAUAAGGAGCCUAUAAAAAUCCCACUUUAUGAGAAAAGAUAAACACCCACUCUCUUCCACUCAUCUAAGCUACAGCAUUGCAAUCACAGUACGCCCUAGAACAUGUCAAACGCCGAUCUUAUCCACACCCGUAUUCAUGUAGCUCUCUUCCCUAGCUCUGGCAUGGGUCACCUGACACCUUUCCUUCGAUUUGCUGCCGCGCUUCUCCGCUGCCAUUGUCAACUCACUUUGAUCACCACAGACCCUGUGGUCUCCCUGGCUGAAUCUCAACUCAUCUCUCGUUUCCUCUCUGCCUUUCCUCAAGUUACUGAAAAGAAGAUUACUCUCCUCCCUCUUGAUCCAGCCACGAUCAAUUCCGCCGACCCUUUUACACUCCAAUGGGAAACUAUUCGCCGGUCAGCACAUCUUCUCUCUCCUCUCAUCUCCUCGCUAUCUCCACCUCUCUCAUUUAUCGUCACCGAUAUAUCCUUGCAGUCCUCUAUCAUUCCAAUCACUGCAAAUCUGCGUCUCCCUAACUACAUACUCUUUAUAUCAUCAGCCAGAAUGUUCUCCCUUUUGGCAUACUUUCCUUCAACCAAGACUGAUGAUG
rnacentral:lncRNA from 1 species